rnacentral:ncRNA from 1 species
GCUGGAGUUGCGCGGGAAGUAGUUGGAGAAGGCAUAGCCGCGCGACUGGUCGAUGGUGUGAAACAGCGGGUUCCAGUCGAAGAUCGCCAGCAUCCCCGGCGUCAGCGAGUUGGCCACGAACAUCUUGCCGGAGGCGAUCAUAUUGGCGCGCUG